rnacentral:lncRNA from 1 species
GAAAUAAAGAGUGGUAGUAGAUAUAGUCUGAUGAGGAGCUGCAGAGCAGCUAAAAAUUUUGAAAACAGGAGGGAAGAAAAAUUGUCUAAAAGAAGCCAUGAGGAGCAAGUGCCUCAACUCAACUUCAAGGACCUGUUCUAUGGGAGCCGGGAGAAAAAAGCAGUCACCAGUUAGGAGAGAUAUGACAGUAUCUGGAUCCUCAAGUGACGCAAACUGGGAUGUUGCUAUGCCAGCAGAUGGGGCCAAGGAAUCCAGCCUCACAGAGAAACACAGAACUAUAGAUUGGGAACAAGGCAGAACCUAAGCCAGAACUCCACCAUGAAUUCACUUUUAUUCCCUCUCUCACCAUCACUCCUGUUUUGUCUUUGUAAUUAUUCUGCUAAUACUAUGGAAGUAUAUAAGCCUGUGAAGUGAUUUGAAUACAGGGAAAGGAUCCUUGUAGUUGGAAAUCUGUACACAGAAAAUAAAUGGCCCAAUCUAGAACUCUGUAGUCUCUACUGAAUCUCAUGCUAGAAUCUUGGCAGUGUGUGUCACUAACUGAAGACAUUUGAUUUAUAAAGACACAUGCACACGUAUGUUUAGUGCAGCACUGUUUACAAUAGCAAAGACUUGGAACCAACCCAAAUGCCUAUCAAUGAUAGACUGGAUAAAGAAAACAUGGCACAUAUACACUGUGAAAUACUAUGCAGCCAUAAAAAAGAAUGAGUUCAUGUCCUUUGCAGGGACAUGGAUGAAGCUGGAAACAAUCCUCCUCAGCAAGCUAACACAG